GUGUCUCCGUUCGCAGCUUCUAUCGCUGCCAUGUUUUAAUUAAAAACCUUAUAAAAACCCAAAUGGGCGUCGGUACCUACAUUCAAGUUGCACCCUGAAUGUUUCUGUUUUGUGUUGUGACAAAAACCGUAUGGAUAAUUAUACUAUUCACUGGUGAAGUGUGUGGAUUCUAGUAUCUUGUGGUGCGAGACAGUUCACGUUGCUACGCAUUCUCCACAUUGCAACAGCUACUGUUCAGCCGACCGACCUACGUGAAAGCAUAUUGGUACAUAAGAUGUUGGAUGUAUGAUGAAAAAACACUUCAGUAUGAUUUCCAUGGCGUAGUGAUGGGCGUAUUGCUUUGAAGUCCCGGAUUCGAUUUCCAAUCGAGCCAAUUUAAGAAAUGUAAUGAUGAAAGUACGCCAGUUGGAUCAUCGUGACGAACUCAACCAGAAUUCAGAAAGAACAACCACGAAUGCUUCCAGGGGAAGCACGUGGAGGAC
rnacentral:lncRNA from 1 species